CUCCUCCCCUGUCACCAGCCGCCACGUCCUGAAACCAGAAAAAACCGGGAUGAAUGCCUGGCUGAC
rfam:Erinaceus europaeus cont1.084360, whole genome shotgun sequence.